rnacentral:lncRNA from 1 species
AUGAGCCUUUAUGUUUCCGGGAAAGAUGUGAUUGGUUAAAAGACCGCAUUCAAACCCGUGCGCGGCGGACGGUCAGAUAUUCACUUGAUGCAGCGCUUCAUUUUUGCACUUUUUUCGCUGACGAUCCUGUUAUGUUGAUCAAACUGACAUCUUCCUUUUACUAUUAGAAACCGCUCAACGUAAGUUACUAAUUGUAACCCACGUGUCUGCGCCUUGCUGAGAAUUGUCAUAUGAAGCUACCGUCGCUAAGUUUGUGUUGCUAAUGGGGCUAACAACACACAUCAAGUUGUUAAAGCUAAACUGUAUUGGUUUUGACUGAUUUCUUCAAUUCAGCUGUCGACAUGAAGUGCUUGAAAGUGGACGAAUACAUAAAAAGGACAGCAUCCAUCAACGAAGCGGAGCUUUUGAGAGAUGAACUGCAGGUACGUUUGUUUACCAUUAUGUACAAAUAGACCGAUAAUGCUAUUCUUGCUGUGGGUUAUCAAAACAUGCAUUUGAGAACCUGAUGUAACCUUGUUUGGCUGCCUGUAGUCAAAACAAAACCGUAACAUUACAGAAAUCACUUUAUCAAAUUGGCUCCACUGGAAAAUAAACAAGAUGUACUUGUGAAAUUUAAAAAUAUACAUAUUCGAAACAUGAUAAAUGGCCAAAUGUAACUUAUGAAAGCUUGCUUUCACGCCAUGUUUUUCAGGAAUAUGUGAGUGGUCAACCGGGGCUCCAGGGACGGACUCUGUGUGACAGAGUGAUCCGAGCCUGCAAUCACCAGCUCGGGGUUAACCCGUCUGACGGCCCCCAUGUCCUUGUGCUGGUGCAGCUGGUGAAGGUCGCUGUUGAUGGCUAUGACAAAGCUGGGAAAGAUGUGGCACAGAGCAGUCCCUUUUACAUGGAGAAGAUCAUUUUCCAUAUUCUGAAGAAACUGAGUUCUUCGGAGGUCCCCAGUGCCUGCAGUGACGUUGCAGAACUGCUUCAUUCCAGGCUUUUGGAAGCGGAACCGUGUGAAGAUCAUAGUGUCCUGGUCCGGAGCAGCUUCUCGGUGCUGCGGAACAGACUAUCCUCUUCCAAAGCUAAGACGACCCUAACUCCACGGGACAAGCUCCGCAGUCAGUUCCAGGCUCUAAGCUUUCUCCUGUUGGUGGACUCUGAAAGUGACACUGCGUCGCCAUCGAAAGCUCCCAUUUACGUUCAAGAAACCAUUUGUCUGUUUGAAAACAGCUGUGGAGCCUUGACAAAGCAGGAUUCAGUCUUUCUGUUUGAGGAAAUUCAAAAAUGUCUCUCUAAGUUUUGGACAGUUGACACGGCUGUGGAUAGAAGUCCAGACCAUCAGCAAAGGAGGAAAUCACUUUUAUAUCCCAUCUUUCACAUAGUUAUGAUCAUCACAAAAGCUCUCUCUAAGGCUGGACAUUACGACACGGCCACUAACUUACUUGAUAUAAUUGAAAGCAAAGUCCAAGCUUUUCCAGAUUGCCAAUCCACCGCUCCAGUUCUCGCUAGACUGGCUGUAAAGAUCCAUUCUGCAGCAAAAGCAUCACAGGGGUUUGGGCAGUUCCUGACGGAGGGUGCCCGAGCCCUGAGGUCGCUGUCCGCUGCUGGAGAUCGCGAGGCUAGCGCAGUUCUAGAGGGCUGUGGGCUGGUUGCAUGGGCCGUCGAGAGUAGCCACACGGCGGCUCUGAGCGGACCUCUACUGCUGGCCUGGUUCUCUUUUCUGGAGGAACAUCAAGAGUGUAUAGCAAAAGUGCUCAAGAGGGUCAGUAGAAUUAAUUUUGUUCAUGCUCCGCAAAUAGAUGCCAAAUGUUUUUGUCAUUUUAAUUGUACCUUUUGCAGAACUCCAUUUGCCAAACCGAAAACGACAGACUACAACAGAUUCUUUGCUCCAGUUUCUACCAAGGCUUCGUGUUUGCUUAUGAGAGCAUGCAGGCAGCACAGGUACACGCCGAUGUCCGGCAUAACGUAAAUGAAACAUACAAAUAUCUGAAGUGUCAUUCUUUAUUCCACCCAGCUGGAGGACAGUGCCAUAUUGGACAGAGUGCUGCUGUUUUGCCAAGCCUCGGCCGGACAAUUGAUGAGAGAACUACGCAAACUGGACAAUGAGAAUUUGUGCAUCAAAGCUGGUAACUAUUAUAAAAUAUUCUCUUUAACCUGUUUUAAGUGAAAGAUGGAAGAGUAAAAGUUUACGAUUCUACUUUUGCCUUGUAGUGGUCGCGAUCAGCAAUUUAGCUUGUGGACUGUACAACAGGCGCCUCUAUGAACAGGCCUUUGCUCUACUGGAACUGCUCUGUAAAGAUCUUUGCAAAAAGACUCCCUUGUCACUUUCUGCUGAUCGAGUAAGUUAUGAUGAAUCCCUCAAUUCAACUCUAAGUGUAAGGGGAAUUUGUGGUAUAGUUUUUGUGUGGUUGUAUCAUAGCAGUGAGAUUUGUAUGUUGAUAGUUUUAACUUGUCUCUCUUUCCAGUUGAGUCGUCCGUUCAUGCUGGCAGUUCAGACUUCUCGUCGGGCUGGUCAGCUGGAGCGAGCUUUAGACUGGGUCAUUCUGUGGCUGAAGGCUCUCGGAGACAGAAUCCUUGGUCACAUGACUGAACCAGUGUCGCUAUGGGUGAAAACCAAGAUGGAUGCUUCGAGAACCUCGGACGAAGACAUCAGACUGAGGUGAGUGUAGAAUGUGUCUCGGAAAUGUUCCUGGUUAAAAUGAAUGAAACCGACCACAACAGUUUAUUUCCUUUUUUUCUUCUUCACAGAACCUUGAGGGAUGGCUUUGGCCCAGAUGUACCCGCUGAGGGGGUCAUGCUCUCUCUUUUGGAGGAAGAGUUGCAGGCUUACAAGGAGAUGCCAGGGGACACGGCACAGGAGCGAUACAACACUCUGUGCGAUCUUCUCGAUAUCUGCCACGAGGAGAGCCCACACACUCACCUCCGGGCUGUAUACCUCUGCCAGAUGGCCCAAGUCGUGUGCUUCCAAGACUUUAGUGAACAAACUGACUGGUAAAAGUAUUCAUUACACCCUCUAAAAUGUCCCGUCCCCCUCCCCCUGUGUUGGAAUACAAAGUUAUUGAUUACGAUUCCUCUGAUUGCACAGCUCUGCAGUUGAUUUCACCCAUGAGGCUUUGCGACUCUUGGAAGCAGAACAGAGGACUCCAGAGAACUCCGACAGGCUGACUGAUGACAAGGCCCAUGCUCUGUUAUGGCUGUAUAUCUGCAGUCUUGAGAAAACGCUUCAGGAGGUGGGUACAAUACAGUCAUGUAAUGUUAUACAGUAUAGUAUUGUGGCGUACGCAUAUUCCAAUCAUGCUGGACAUUUAGGCCCAAUCUCAGUUCUCUUUUCUACCCCUUGCCCUCGCCAUUUCCCUACACCUUGAAACAGAGGGCUAAGGGCGAGGGUUGAAAAGACCACCAUAAGAAAUGGGACAGCAAUCCAUUUGACAACUAACACAGAUGAUAAGGUUUUUUAUCAAUUAGAACACAUUUAUAUGAAACAAAAUGUAAAAAAGCAAGCCCCUACUUGUCUCUAUAGCAUGUUUCUACUUAACCAGUUCAUCAGUAACUUGUAACAGACUGAUGCUGUUUUGUAACACCCUAAACAACAGGACUCUCUCAGCCCAAACUCUACAGAUUUUCAUCUAUUUCUGCUUCAUCCGGCGCUACAUUCUCCUUCCCCCUGUCCGUGUGUUGCGGCUUCUACCGCCGGGUCGCUGUGGCUGCAGCCCGUUAGCCAGAGCUGCGAGAUCAGCCGAUCCGCUCAUAUAGCGCACUCGUAGCGGGGACAGGCAGAGGUAGCCCCGCUCACAGUGCGCUCAGGGCGGGGACAGGCAGCCGCAGUCUCUGCUCUGAGCCCCG